rnacentral:rRNA from 1 species
GUAUGGUAUUGGCUUACCGUGGCAGUGACGGUUAACGGGGGAUUAGGGUUCGAUUCCGGAGAGGGAGCCUGAGAAACGGCUACCACAUCUAAGGAAGGCAGCAGGCGCGCAAAUUACCCAAUUCUAACAGUUUGAGAGAGGUAGUAACAAGAAAUAACAAUACAAGGCAGUUAAAAUGCUUUGUAAUUGGAAUGAUAGAAAUUUAAACCCUUUUUAAAGUGUCAAUUGGAGGGCAAGUCUGGUGCCAGCAGCCGCGGUAAUUCCAGCUCCAAUAGCGUAUAUUAAAAUUGUUGCAGUUAA